rnacentral:rRNA from 1 species
UACGUAGGGUGCAAGCGUUGUCCGGAGUUAUUGGGCGUAAAGAGCUCGUAGGCGGUCUGUCGCGUCGGCUGUGAAAACCCGGGGCUCAACCCCGGGCCUGCAGUCGAUACGGGCAGACUAGAGUGCGGUAGGGGAGACUGGAAUUCCUGGUGUAGCGGUGAAAUGCGCAGAUAUCAGGAGGAACACCGGUGGCGAAGGCGGGUCUCUGGGCCGUAACUGACGCUGAGGAGCGAAAGCGUGGGGAGCGAACAGG